rnacentral:rRNA from 1 species
AUUGAACGCUGGCGGCAUGCUUUACACAUGCAAGUCGAACGGUAACAGGCCGCAAGGUGCUGACGAGUGGCGAACGGGUGAGUAAUGCAUCGGAACGUGCCCAGUCGUGGGGGAUAACGCAGCGAAAGCUGCGCUAAUACCGCAUACGAUCUAUGGAUGAAAGCGGGGGACCGAAAGGCCUCGCGCGAUUGGAGCGGCCGAUGUCAGAUUAGGUAGUUGGUGGGGUAAAGGCCCACCAAGCCAACGAUCUGUAGCUGGUCUGAGAGGACGACCAGCCACACUGGGACUGAGACACGGCCCAGACUCCUACGGGAGGCAGCAGUGGGGAAUUUUGGACAAUGGGCGCAAGCCUGAUCCAGCAAUGCCGCGUGCAGGAAGAAGGCCUUCGGGUUGUAAACUGCUUUUGUACGGGAAGAAACGCUCUGGGUUAAUACCCCGGGGUAAUGACGGUACCUGAAGAAUAAGCACCGGCUAACUACGUGCCAGCAGCCGCAGUAAAAC